rnacentral:rRNA from 1 species
UAUCAGGGUAGUACCCUAAAGGCACCCGAUCCCUUCUGAUUUUGGGAGCUAAGCAGAGUCAGCCCUGGUUAGUAUUUGUAUGGAAACUUCCAAUAAAUACCAGGUACUGUAGUUA